rnacentral:rRNA from 1 species
UACGAAGGGGGCUAGCGUUGCUCGGAAUCACUGGGCGUAAAGGGUGCGUAGGCGGGUCUUUAAGUCUGCGGUGAAAUCCUGGAGCUCAACUCCAGAACUGCCUUUGAUACUGAAGAUCUUGAGUUCGGGAGAGGUGAGUGGAACUGCGAGUGUAGAGGUGAAAUUCGUAGAUAUUCGCAAGAACACCAGUGGCGAAGGCGGCUCACUGGCCCGAUACUGACGCUGAGGCACGAAAGCGUGGGGAGCAAACAGG